rnacentral:rRNA from 1 species
CCUACGGUAGGCAGCAGUGAGGAAUAUUGGUCAAUGGCCGGAAGGCUGAACCAGCCAUGCCGCGUGAAGGUCAGUGCCCUAUGGGCGGUAAACUUCUUUUGUGCGGGAGCAAUAAUGGUCACGUGUGGCCAGACGAGAGUACCGUACGAAUAAGCAUCGGCUAACUCCGUGCCAGCAGCCGCGGUAAUACGGAGGAUCCGAGCGUUAUCCGGAUUUAUGGGGGUUAAAGGGAGCGUAGGUGUAUUGUUAAGUCAGUUGUGAAAGUUUGCGGCGCAACCGUAAAAUUGCAGUUGAGACUGGCAGGCUUGAGUACAGUAGAGGUGGGCGGAAUUCGUGGUGUAGCGGUGAAAUGCUUAGAUAUCACGAAGAACACCGAUUGCGAAGGCAGCUAACUGGACUGCAAAUGACACUGAGGCUCGAAAGUGUGGGUAUCAAACAGGAUUAGAUACCCGUGUAGUC